rnacentral:rRNA from 1 species
UCAGAACGAACGCUGGCGGCAGGCCUAACACAUGCAAGUCGAGCGCGCCUUCGGGCGAGCGGCGGACGGGUUAGUAACGCGUGGGAAUAUGCCCAGAUCUAAGGAAUAGCCACUGGAAACGGUGAGUAAUACCUUAUACGCCCUUUGGGGGAAAGAUUUAUCGGAUUUGGAUUAGCCCGCGUUAGAUUAGGUAGUUGGUGGGGUAAUGGCCUACCAAGCCUACGAUCUAUAGCUGGUUUUAGAGGAUGAUCAGCAACACUGGGACUGAGACACGGCCCAGACUCCUACGGGAGGCAGCAGUGGGGAAUCUUGGACAAUGGGGGCAACCCUGAUCCAGCCAUGCCGCGUGAGUGAUGAAGGCCUUAGGGUCGUAAAGCUCUUUCGCCUGUGAAGAUAAUGACGGUAGCAGGUAAAGAAACCCCGGCUAACUCCGUGCCAGCAGCCGCGGUAAUACGGAGGGGGUUAGCGUUGUUCGGAAUUACUGGGCGUAAAGCGCACGUAGGCGGAUCGGAAAGUUGGGGGUGAAAUCCCGGGGCUCAACCCCGGAACUGCCUCCAAAACUAUCGGUCUAGAGUUCGAGAGAGGUGAGUGGAAUUCCGAGUGUAGAGGUGAAAUUCGUAGAUAUUCGGAGGAACACCAGUGGCGAAGGCGGCUCACUGGCUCG